rnacentral:rRNA from 1 species
UGGGGAAUAUUGGACAAUGGGCGAAAGCCUGAUCCAGCCAUGCCGCGUGUGUGAAGAAGGUCUUCGGAUUGUAAAGCACUUUAAGUUGGGAGGAAGGGUUGUAGAUUAAUACUCUGCAAUUUUGACGUUACCGACAGAAUAAGCACCGGCUAACUCUGUGCCAGCAGCCGCGGUAAUACAGAGGGUGCAAGCGUUAAUCGGAAUUACUGGGCGUAAAGCGCGCGUAGGCGGUUUGUAAGUUGGAUGUGAAAUCCCCGGGCUCAACCUGGGAACUGCAUCCAAAACUGGCAAGCUAGAGUAUGGUAGAGGGUGUGGAAUUUCCUGUGUAGCGGUGAAAUGCGUAGAUAUAGGAAGGAACACCAGUGGCGAAGGCGACCACCUGGACUGAUACUGACACUGAGGUGCGAAAGCGUGGGGAGCAAACAGGAUUAGAUACCCAAGUAGUCCCUGAGCGGGCUGGCAAGGCGCAU